rnacentral:tRNA from 1 species
GGGCCGUUAGCUCAACUGGCAGAGCGGCGGACUCUUAAUCCGUAGGUCGCAGGUUCAAGUCCUGCACGGCCCA